rnacentral:lncRNA from 7 species
GCAUUAAACAGUUCGUCGCUCCACUUUUACAAUUCAUUGCAUACAUAAAUUACAGUCGUCGCGCUCGCAAAACAUGAAUCCCCGACAUAGUACAGUAACGCACACAUGUGUGCAUUGAACUUUUAACGGUGUGUUGACUUUAGAAACUAAUAAUAAUGUGCGCGCUUACUCCGCCACAAUGCGCCACGUCGUCAGAUAAAGUACGCACACCGGAGCAUAUAUGGCUCAAUAUACCCAUCUAGAAGUUACUCAAUGCACCAUGUAGUUUUAGCUGCGCUAGGAUAUGUACAUCAAUUGGUUAGCUGCUCACAUCGAUCAGUUAGCUAUCUGAGGACUUAAUUGUGCGAGCGACAAAGGUACUAAACCAUGGUGUGACUAAUCGAUAUGUAUUUGUUCGUACUCAACGUGCUACUAACUAAGGUCUUCUUGUUGGUGACUGCCUUCAGUGCGGAGAGAAAGGACCACGGUUUUACAUUCGUGCCUUUAGUCAGAAAUUUGGCUAAUAAUUAGACAAUUGCAUUCCACUCAUUUUAUAAUGUCUCCUAUGUAUUUCACCAAGGCAAAGCAAACGUUUCAACUAUCGUCCCUGCUAGCUAUUGGGUUAGAAUCUACUACCUCUAUUUCGAAAGCAAUAAAACUCUAGCUAGGUUAAAAUGACUACUAUAAAACCAUAUGUAAAGACGUCUUCUUCUUUUUUUUUAAAAAAAAGGUUUUUACGAAAUGAGCCGCCACUAGAAACAUAUUUACAAAGACAACGGGUAUUUUAAGCAUUCUCAAUAAAUAACUACUACCCCGUUCCAAAAUAUUAUUCGUUUUAGCUCUUGUCUU